ACAGGUGUGAUGAGCAAUCAAAGGGAUGGUCCUGGAGCUGAAGUAACAGUACCUUUCUACAGCUGGUCAUGUUGGGAUGUCCUGCUGCUCCUGGACAAACUGCUGAAAUCAAGUCUUUAUGUCAGUGCCCUUCUGGCAGGCUUUGAGUUACUUGUAGGAGCACAUGAAGAAGUAAUACUAAAUGAAGCAACAGACCUAGCAUCAGCUUUUUCUCCCGGACCUUCCUGCAAACUCUCCAGCCAGUACAUCAUUCAAGAUCACAUGGCUGCUCAUUUCAAGAAACUGAUGUCUGCCAAAGCUGCUGUUGAUUCAUCUGCACCGAAGAGUUUGCAUACCAGUGUUAAAUACAAGGAUCAACAGAAAAGAGACAGACUAAUUCAAACCCUUGAAAAAUAUAAGAGGGAUCUUGUACGGAGUCUUCCUGCCACACCAUUCAACUCCAGAAGUGUUUCUCCAAGCCAGCAGAAGGUAUG
rnacentral:lncRNA from 1 species